AAAGGUCUUGAUCUUUAGCGGCGUUUGUGGGAAAAGCGCCGCUAAAGAUCAAGACCUUUAGCGGCGCUUUUUUCGAAAAGCCGCUAAAGGUCCUGAUUUAUAACGGCGUUUGUAAAAAAAGCGCCGCUAAAGGUCCUAGCCUAUAACGGCGUUUGUGGAAAAGCGCCGCUAAAGGUCCUGACCUAUAGCGGCGUUUGUGGGGAAAGCGCCGCUAAAGGUCAUGAUCUAUAGCGGCGUUUAUUUUUAAAAACGCCGCAAACAUUUGUGGCGUUGACAACAGCAGCAUUUUUUGCAGCGCUUUUAAAAAUGCCGCAAAUACUUUUAAUGGCGCUAAACGCCGCUAAAAACCUAUUUUGGUGUAGUGAUGCCGAUGUUUUAUACAAGGCUUUAUGUUCUAUAAAUCUUAUGAGAGCAAUAGUAAAAGCAAAUAAAUGUGUUAAGAAAGCUAAAUUAUUCAGGUAUGUGAUAGCCAUUUGCUUAAUUGGUGACAAGGUAAGUUGAUUUUUUUAAGUUGAUAAUAGUUUCAAAUGAAAUAUAGAGUAUGAGUUAACCAUUUGAGUAUAAGCAUGUUUUGGCAUAAUGAUUUAUUGAAUAUUCGGCUUUACUAAAUAUCUAUGUGUAUUUGGCCAUAUGGUUUGUUUAUAUGGAAAUACAAUGUGAUCUUUAUUCAAGUGUUAUAUGGUACAAAAUAUUAGGAUAUUUGUUUUAUUUAAUUUAAUGAUGGAAUGAG
rnacentral:lncRNA from 1 species